AAAUAUGCAUUAAUAUAAAGUAGAAUAGAAGAGUCAAACAAUUUAGAAACCAUCCUACAAAAUGGUUCUCUCCAAACAUUUAUUAAUCGCAUUUAGUUUCGCUAUUUUCUUCUUGAUAUCAAAUGUUCACUGCAUUGAUACUAUUCCGGGUAUUGGCAUAAAAAUGUCGAAAAUAUGCUACGAUACGGUUUCAUGUGCAGGUGACGGAGCUCAAUGCAGAACGUUUUGUACAGGUUUUAAGGCAACAGGGGUUUGUAUUUCUGAAGCUUGUUGUUGUAUAUUUAGAAACAAAAUAUUAAAAUAAUAUCGUUAGAUAAUAUAUAUGUUAAUAAAAGUAAAAGAAUGUAACUAAUAAUAAAUAAACGAUAUUAUGAAAAAAAAUGAUAUUAUGAAAUUGAAGCUACUUAGAUUAACCUCAAAAAAAAAUAUUGGUCAAAGUGUACUAAAAAUUUAAAAGGUAAUAUGCCAUACAUGAUAUCUCUAUCUCUAUAAUAUUAUUUAAGAAAUCAUUUUCCUAUGUCGCGCUUACGUUAAUUCUCACGAUGGCUGAUUACGAUGAUACUUCUAAUGAAUCAAAUAAAUCUAAUUAUCAUUACCAAAUAUUUUAUUUAUUUAGGUUCAUUUUUCUUUUUUUUUGUUAAAUAACCUAUAUAAUAAAUAAAAUUUAUAAAAUUUAUAAAAGAAAACAUCUUUUAUAUCAUGUAAUUCAUAAUAAGAAAACUUCACAAAAUAAUAUUGAUGUUAAAGUAGAAAAUUAAUAUUCCCUUUUAAACAAUAAUCUUUAACAAUAAAAUAUAUAUUUUAAAAGUAUUAAGCAUUUUUUAAUAUCAAUACGUUUUCAAAUUAUUACAAAAUAAUUUAAUUUAAUUUUUAUUUUUCAUUCAGGUUCCCUUUUAUAUUUUUAAAUAACAUAUAUGAUAAAGAACACAUUUAUAAAUUUUAAAACGAAAUAUAUAUAUAUAUAUAUAUAUAUAUUGUGAUUUCAUAAAAAAAAAAGUUUUGAAAAAUAACCUUGAUGUUAAAGUAAGAAAAUAAUCUUCCAUUGUAAAAUUUACCGUUUAUGUUUUUAUGCAACUUUAUACCUAUAAUCAUUUUAUUUUUAUUUUUUUAUUUUUGCAAAUUAAAAUAUACCAGAUUACUAAAAAAUCAAAAAUAUAUUAACAUAUCUAAAA